rnacentral:tRNA from 1 species
GCCGAGGUAGCUCAGUCGGUAGAGCAGUGGACUGAAAAUCCGCGUGUCGGCAGUUCGAUUCUGUCCCUCGGCACCA